UAGAAACAAAUAACCAUAUAAAUAUCCAUGUAAAAUGUCUUUAAGCUUUUCUGAAAGCUUCCUAUUUAAUGUGUUAAAUGACAUCAUAGUACUCGAUUCAUAAAUUGCUUUGGUCAUUUCGUCUGGCCAUUCUUUAUAAUAAUUGUAUAUUGUCUGCCUUAAUCAGCGAACUAUUUAUACGAGAAAGUCGCUAAAAAUAGUCGCUAUCUGCGCUGUUGUAUACAAGCGUGUUCGCAAAGGCAUAAGUUUGAUCCUCGAUAAAUGUCAAUUUAUCGUAUAAAAUUCGUGCGCGAAGAGGUUAUGUCGAAAUCGUAUUACCUUAUGUAUCCGUAUCGAUCAGAAAUGGAUUCAAGGACGUGCAAUGAACAAAAAUAUUAUUUUUUAACAAAUUUAUAAAGUAAAUAUCAAUAGAAAGAAAACGGAUGCUAAAAUUAUUUGUUAUUAAUGAUAAAAUAUAUAUUCGUGCAGCAAAUCAUCAGGAUUAUGAUGUGUACAACAAAAAUGAUGAUAACAGAGAAGGCAGAAAUAUAAGAGAAGUGAAAUAAUAUACAGGACGUCUCGGUUGAAGGAGGUCACCUAAAUAUUCUCUUCGUUUUUAACAAGAGAAAUUUUUAAAUUCACAAUUUGAAUGAUUUAAAAA